GUCCGCAACGAGCGCAACCCUCGCCUUAGUUGCCAGCAUUAAGUUGGGCACUCUAGAGGGACUGCCGGUGUCAAACCGGAGGAAGGUGGGGAUGACGUCAAGUCCUCAUGGCCUUUAUGACCAGGGCUACACACGUACUACAAUGGCCGGCACAAAGGGCAGCAAGCCUGCGAAGGUAAGCUAAUCCCGAAAAAACCGGUCUCAGUCCGGAUCGCAGUCUGCAACUCGACUGCGUGAAGUUGGAAUCGCUAGUAAUCGUGGAUCAGCAUGCCACGGUGAAUACGUUCCCGGGCCUU
rnacentral:rRNA from 1 species